rnacentral:lncRNA from 1 species
UGUAGCGUCAAAUGACAGCUUAUUAAACGCUGAUUCCAAAAAUGUAUGGUUUCUAUGGAAAAAGAUAUAGAUAAGGGAGAUAAUUGUUUACUUCCGGUUCAAACGAUGUUAUUUCCGGUAUAGUUUGAUAGUUUAAUUGACACUGAUUCCAAAAAUAUAUGGUUCUAUAUACUUUUACAUUUAUUUAGAACAAAAAAUAGCUACUUC